CCUACGGGAGGCAGCAGUGGGGAAUAUUGGACAAUGGGCGCAAGCCUGAUCCAGCCAUGCCGCGUGAGUGAUGAAGGCCUUAGGGUUGUAAAGCUCUUUCGUCAGGGAAGAUAAUGACGGUACCUGAAGAAGAAGCCCCGGCUAACUUCGUGCCAGCAGCCGCGGUAAU
rnacentral:rRNA from 1 species